rnacentral:lncRNA from 1 species
CACCUACCCCACCACCAAUCCCGCCACCCACGACCAAUCCCACCACCGAUCCCGCCACCAACCACCAACCAUGAUAAACUGCUAGUUUCUUCCCACUACAGUGUCUCUCAAAAAUGGGACAGCAACAUUCUUUUUGUUUUCACUUGCAGUAAGCAUGAUGCAAUUACAUAAAUGUACGUCCCAGCUAGUCAAGAGGCUGAGACAAGAGGAUCUCUUGAGCCCAGGAGCUCAAGGCUGUAGUGAGCCAAGAUCGUGCCACUGCACACAAACAAUUAUGUGACCUCGGGCAAGUUGCUUUACCUCUUUACACCUCUUAAUUUCCUUAUCUGUAAAAUGAGGAUGAUAAUUUCUUCCUGGGUCUGUUGUAAUAAUUAAUACAUCAAAGCACUUCAUGUCUGGAACAGUGAAGAUACCCUGCUAUGACUAUUAAGGAUAGUAUACAUGGAAUAAGACACAGGAACUUCUAAAUGCUUUUGACCAUAGAUUUAGGUUCUGAGUUUUAAGAAUUUAACUCAGGAAAUUGUAACACCAAAAAUGUCAUGUGAAAAAUGGUGGUGACAAAUUUUCUUGAAUCAUUAGCCUUAGAGGUUGGGCAGAAAGCAAAAAAUUAUUCUUGAUGCU